UCUAGGGGAACAAGAGGAGUAGGACACAAGUUCGAAAUUCCAGGAGGCAUGGCGGAUCGAUUCCGGUCUAGAGGCUCGUGUGCAAUAAUCGACAUGGCACAAACACCUUACUUUCGCUUAGCAACCACUUCACACACCAUCAUAGGCAUAGGGACCAGAAGACCCUGUACUCGAGAGGGAGUCGAAAAUAGAUCAAGGCGUGGGAAACAGGAAAGAACACAUGCGAACCACUCUAACCGAUCUUGGAAUAGAACGGAAGGAGAGAAUUUAGAAGUAAGGCAAACCACAAAUCGGACGCCUGAAUAACCGUAAAAUCGGUCGU
rnacentral:rRNA from 1 species